GGAAUGCCUGUGAAGUGGAAACAGGAAAUGAAAAAGUUGCGGGACCUGAACGGCAGCGCCAUCUAUCGGCUGCUUAUCGAGUUGUCACCUGCACCUGGAAACCGUUACUCGCACACACGCACACACACACAUCCGCCUAGCCGUACGUGCACUGCAUACUUAUAUGGGCCAUGGGCCCUACAUAUGCGCACAUGCACUCGCGGUCGCAAAAAUAGGUGUGCAAGCAAGGAAACGAUUUGGCUAAGAAUAGAUGAUGGGAGUAACAAGCUUCUAGGCUAGCUAAUCCUAAUCUGAUUGAAGUCCUACGGAAGUGACACCUUAAUGCUCACCAAUUAGAUUAAGUUUCCACUAGUAGGACUACUUGGCAACUCACUAAUUAUUAUUAGCCGCUGCUAUUAGUGCAGCCGCGAGUGUAGCUCCCUUGGCCGUAGGAACUUCGCACACACACCCCACCCACCCACACUGGCACAAAAUCAUCAGGUGUGUCCACUUUGAGUUAUCUACACAUGUGCAGCCGAAGGUGCCCCAGGGUAAGGUAUUCCGAGGUAUAUUUCCAGGACAGGACGGGACGGGACAGGACGAGAUCCUGAGGAUGCCCGGAGGGAACAGGUCCCGAAGACAAUGGCACAGUACUUUGCAGCCCAUAAUCAACUCAUAAACAUCAUAAACUAACCCCCACCCCCCACGAACACCACACACCCAUGAAGUGAACUGCGAUGGAAGCGCAGUUUUGGGCCCACGCCCCUUGGGGCAGGAAAAGUGGGUGGGAGUUAUAAAAAAUGCAAAGAGGGCGGAUGGAAAACGAAUAUGAAUAUUUUAAAACCAAACAAAGACGGGCACAGAAAAGCGCACACACACUCUCGAUGCAAUGCUCCCUUGAAAUCCUCUUGGCGUGUACACAUGUAUCCACAAACGGAACCCCGUUCAGCAAACUAAAAAAAACGAAUAAUAUACUUUGUUUAUUA